GGGUGAAUUUGAUAUCUUUUAUUAGACCAACCCAAAUGGUUGGAGAAUAGUUAUUAAGCAAGCUUUCGGGUUCAAAAACCCUUCAUCAGGCUAAGGAAGUUUCAGCAGUUGGUGUGUUCUGGGGAUGAACACUCUCCAACAUACUUACAGGAUCAGUGGCACCAAACUGGAUAGCACCAUUGUGCGAGGGUGAAUGUCUCCCCGGCCUCACUCGGAGCUCUCCUGCCAUGACUUGAGAUGGAAGAAAGAGUUAUUCCCCAAAUGAGGACAUACAAUGAAUGAACCUGGAUUGACCUGACACAUAGCAUCUCUCAAACUUUCCCCUUGAAUGAUUCACAGACGUGUAAGCUGUGACCAAAACAGCAAAAAGAGAAAAUGCAGGUUACUGUACAGAAUGAAUUGAAUACUGAGUGACUUUGAAAGAGAGUUACCAUCAGAUUUUACAAAAUUGUCUACAGUUGUUGCUGUCAUAGAGAUACCGUUGUUGCAGAGUUACAACUUAACUGACAUUAAUUCAUAUGGUAUUCUAUAAAAAACUUCAGUGGUCAAAUUCCCCACCUUACUAUAUAGCGCUGAGACCUGGCCAAUGUACAGGAGACAUCAAGCCACUGGAGAAGUAGCAUCAACGCUGCCUGUGGAAGAUCGUUUGAAUCCAGUGGGAAGACAGAUGCAAAUAUUAGUGUCCUCUCACAAGCAAAAACCAUGAACAUCAAGCCAAUGAUCAUCCAACUGCAACUUCACUGGGCUGGCCACAUCAUCUGGGUGUCCGACUCAUGAUUCCUGAAGCAAGUUUUAUACUCCCACCUCAUUAAAGCCAUACACUCAAGAGGAGGGCUGAGAAAGCACUUCAAGAAUGCCCUCAAGGCCAACUUGAAAAAAAUAUAACAUCAACAUCAGCUCAUGGGAAACUAUUGCCUAGGACCACCCCAAAUGGAGGAAGAGUCUGCUUCAAGGAUCUCAGUACUUUGAAAACUUACAGUGACAACAAGAGAUGGAAAAGCAGGAGUGGCAGAAACACCAUGUCACAGACUGAAUCAAGAACCCAGAGCCACCCACCAUGCAUGGAAAAAUGUGCCCAAGCUGCAACAGUGUCUGUAAAUCCCAGAUAGGCCUUGUCAGCCAUCUUCAGACCCACAGAUAAGACAAUCAUGGAAGAUAAUCAUCCUUGGGAUUGCCGAUGAUGACAAUUUAACUGACAUGAAUUCAGAUGGUCUUCCAUAAAACCUUCAUCAGUCAAAUUCUUGCUAGGUUGGCAGUUACCAUCUGAUGGAUGUUCAGAACAUGCUAGGGGAAUGGUUGUUUCAUUUACUUUAAUUUCCUUUAGGACAGUAGACCAUGUAAGAAAAACUACAAUAAUAAAUUGGCACUGGCUAGCACUAGUUUGCAACCCUCCUUCUUAGUGUCAAUUGUAGUGGCUGACGGGGAAAAUGAACCAUUAUUUCAUCAGAGGUUGUUUCCCUCUCACAGGCUGUGAUUGAGGCACAUUGUCAGGGUAGCAUAGGAGAAGAGGGGCAUGUACAACUGAUGCUUAUGCUGUACUGGCUUCAAAGAUAAGCAGCAGAAGACUUAAUUUUCCAAUGUCUUUCACUUAUUCAUCUUCCAGAGGCAUAACUUAGCAAGCAUAUUUACCAUGCUUAAUAUCUCAUCACAUACUGUGCACAGGAAAAGACAAUGUUAUAUAUGAUUAAAUCCUCUUUGUUUGAUGUCAUCUGAGAAUUCUCUAGUCUUCUAACAAGCAGUAUCUUAUAAAAAAAAUAAAUUAUGUUUA